CCCACAGGAACGGCCGGCCGGUGAGCUCCAGCCCCAGCGCGAGCUCCUCGAACUGGUGCGGGUUGAAGACGGUGAAGCUGCCGAACGCCACGUACACGACUGAGCGAUCGGGCCACGCGUCGAGCCACUCGAGGCAUCUGGCGUCCUCGGGCAGGAAUUGCCCGACCGGCUUCUUGAACUGCACGUCGGCGAACAGGGGGCCGACGGGCAGAAUGUCGGGGUACAGCUUGAACGCGGCCGGCUCGGCGUCUCCGAACGAGUUGCAGACGGUGACCUCGGCGAGGUCCUUCGCCUCGUUGUUCCGGACCACCAGCUGGAAGAUGGCCGGUUGGUCCUUCGGCGCGCCGGCGUUGUUCCACGACAGAUGCGACGUGUGGAGCGGCGGCAUCCCGGGCGCGAACUGGAACGUCUCCUGUCGCUUUGGCCAGCCUGCGCUUGUCCAAGAACCACGAAUCAGAACGCAAGUCAUCAUAAAUAAAAAUCGACUGUUUGUCAGAAAUUCUUCUUUUGGCGGUUUUACUAAUUGUUCAGCUCUCGCCUGACACCUUUCUCGUCGAUGACGCCGUCCUGUAUCAGCUGCGGAAUUCUUAACAUCGAGGCGAGAAAUGCCGCCGACCCUGUCCAGAAGCAGGCGGCCCUGAUGCCGAGCUUCUUGGCGACCUCGAACGCCCACCCCAUGCCCUCGUCGGCAACGAGCCAACUGAUCUUUGUGCCCCCGGACGCCUCAAUCCUCCCGACGAGCUCCUCAAGGUAGCACGGCAUGUGCUGCGAGAGUGCGUCCACGAGCUUGCCGAGGUCCUUGCGGUCGUCGCCGUCUGCCAGCCCGUCCGGGACGCCCACCAGGCGUAUGCCGUCGAGCGACGGACAGCCAGCUCCGUUCGCCGCCAUGGCGUCGAGCACGAGCGUGUGGUUGGCCUCGGUGUUGACGAAGGUGACCUCGAUGCCGUGCUCGACGAGACGGUGGGAGAGCUGCAUCAGAGGGAUGAUGUGGCCCUGCGCAGGGAAGGGCAGGGCCAGGACGUGGGGAGCCGCCAUGGCGGGAACCGGGAAGGUCGGAAGCCAAACCAAGACGUGGCUCAGCAGCAGAAUGCCUUUGCCUGAGGGGUUAGGUACUAGUGGCUUGUGGUUGCUGUUUUGUCCUCGUCUCCAUGGGUCUCUCUACGGCUUGGCUAUAUCGAAGAUUGCUGGAUGGAUAUAGCCAAAUGAACCAGAGCCAGAGAAUCCAGCACUGCACACUCGCGUCCCAACAGAAACUGAGGAAACCACUUCAUCAUGCCAUUCACGGUCGAUUUGGCGCACGUGGGCAUGCUGUACGCCGUCAACAUUUUUGAAGAGAUCGUUAUCAUUUCAAUUUUCAAGCGUUAACAUUCAGUACACGGAUCUCGAAUUCACUAGAAGACCAGAUAUGAUACUCCAAAGGAAAGUGACAUAUGGACCCACUGCCACCUAUCAUGGUACCAAAUGUGUGGAGCCUACUGCCACAUCACAUGAAAUCAUAGUCAAAACUAGCUAGGGAUAUAAUUUGUGUGGUAUUGUAAAGUUUAGAGUGUAGACUAUCUUGUUUUGUGGCUAGAUGAGGAAAAUCAAACGAGGGAUAGUUUAGGUUACCAAAUGGAUUUGUUUCUUCAAAAGGUAGUGGCUCCAGGGACUCUAGCUGGGCAAAGCUAACGGGCAUGCGCAUGAGGUCGCUAGCCCUCAAUUCUCGGUAGCCCUCCUCACUUUCCCCCUCGACCUUUUCAUUUUUGGAAAGUUUUAAUUCCCACAACUUUUUAUUUAUGCACAUUCGUACACAUAAUUUUUUAGCAUACAGUUGGAGACAGAGAGGGCAAGUAGUGGUUGGAUCCGACAUUAGAGCGAUCGAUCCCGUGGUGGAGCAACUUCAAGGCAAUAGCAACAGCCACAAGGUGGCGAUUCAAAGAUUAGGAGGAAAUAUUGAGGGUAGUGGGAGUGAGAUGGCCAGCAAACCAGGAUGUGGCAGUCGAUGGUGUCAUGAAUAUGAGAUAUUAGAAAGAGGUCAUGUGCAACCAUGCAUCCACAUGCAUGAAUACUGAGAUGAGACAAGUAAAUAGGUAGGCAUGUGCAUGAAUUUAAAAGGAAGAAGCAAUUUGGAAGGGUUAAGGUUACGAUUUUCAUCUAAUGGGUGUAGACUUGGCUCAAAUUGUGAGAAAUAGAGUUUGGUUAUCAUACGUGAUAUGUAUUGUUACAUUUAGAAUAUCUAUGUCUUGUAGAUAGAAGGUUGUUAGGAUUAUUUACUUAUAAAUCAAGGAUGAUUGUAACUUAUCUGUAAGCCACGGAUGGGGCUGUUCCAUCCCUAUAUUAACAUGCAGAGUGCGCACGGCAUGGGUGCAGCACUUUAACCCAAAACUACUUCCGCACCUCAGAUUAACUUUCAUGGUCAUCAGAGCCUAGAUUCAAUCUACUCCUAAAACCUCCACCUUCCAAUGGCUAGCUCAUCGGCAAUUCCAUCCAACCCAAUGCUCAGAAGCGGUGUCUUCGAGAAACUCACCAGGGUGAAUCAUGCCCUCUAGAGAGCUCAGGUGCGUGCUGCAGUUCCUGGUGCCAAACUUGAGGGUCACCUCACAGGCACGUCGAAAGCACCUAUCAAGGAGAUUGAAGAUAAAGAUGGGAACAAGAAUCCCAAUCCCGCCUUUGAGGAGUGGGAUGCCGUGGAUCAGCAAGUCCUCGGCCUUCUCCUCACGUCGGUGUCCAGGGACAUCCUCAUCAACAUCGCCAAUAGCAAGAUGGCGACAAAAGCCUAGACAACCAUCGAGGGGAUGUUUGCUGCACAGACUAGAGCUCACGCGGUAAAUCUUUGCAUCGCCCUAUCAACUACGAAAAAAGGGUAGCAUGAUAGCAGCCGAAUAUUUCGGCAAGAUGAAGGGGCUCAGCGAUAAUAUGGCAGCUGCAGGAAGACCGCUUGAAGAAGAAGAGAUCGUUGAGCACAUACUCAUGGGGCUGGACCAAGAGUUCACCCCAUUGGUGUCUGUCUUGGUUGCUCGACGAGAAUCAAUCUCACUGGGAGAACUCUACUCCCAGAUGCUCAGCUUUAAGACUUGACUUGGUCUUCUCCAGGAGGGAGGACAGUCAGGGUCGUCAGUGAACUACGAUGGCCGUGGCCCAGGAUCUAGGAAUCAACGCGGGUGUGGAGGAGGCCGUGGUCACGGCUCUAGUCGUGGCCGUGGCUCCAACAGCAGCAACAACCCACCUUGUCAGGGAGGCGGCAACUUCUCCAAGAACCGCGCCAGCUUCAGCAACAACUCCAGUGGUGAUGUUCGCCCCUUGUGCCAAGUCUGUUUCAAGAAGGGCCACACAACCGAUAGAUGUUGGCACAAGUAUGAUGAAAAUUAUGUGCCAGAUGCAAAGCUUGUGGCUGCAGCGACAUCAUCCUACACGGUGGACACAAAUUGGUACACCGACACGGGAGCUGCUGAUCACAUCACAGGAGAGUGAGAGAAGCUAUCAUUCCGCAACAAGUACACUGGGAAUGACCAAGUUCACACUGCAAGCGGUGUAGGUAUGGAUAUUAGUUAUGUUGGUCAAUCUACUAUUCAUACCCUGAAUCAUAAUCUUGAAUUAAAUAAUAUUCUACAUGUUCCUAAUGCUCAAAAAGAUCUUGUUUCCGUUCAUUGCCUUACCACCGAUAACAAUGUUUUCCUUAAAUUUCAUCCCAAUUUCUUCUUAUUAAAGGACAAGGACACGAGGAACAUUCUACUUAAAGGAAGAUGCAGCAAGGGUCUCUAUCCUCUUCCUCCCACAUCAUCUGAGAAGCAAGCUUUUGGAGUAAUAAAGCCAUCUCUAUCUAGAUGGCAUAGUCGUCUCGAGCACCCUGCAUCUCCUAUAGUUGAAAAGGUUGUUAGGAAAUUUGAUCGUCCAUGUUCUUAUGAGUCUAAUAAAGGGUCGGUUUGUGAUGCUUGCCAACAAGCCAAAAGUCAUCAACUACCUUACCCGAAAUCCUCUAGUGUGUCUAGUCACCCAUUGGAACUCGUUUUCUCUGAUGUAUGGGGGCUGCACCUGAUUCCGUUGGGAGAUACAAAUAUUAUGUGAGCUUUAUCGAUGAUUAUAGCAAAUUUACUUGGAUUUAUCUCUUGCAAUUUAAAUUUGAAGUUUUCCAAAAUCUCCAUGAAUUUCAAAGCCUUGUUGAGCGCUUGUUUAAUAGGAAGAUUAUCACCAUGCAAACCGAUUGGGGAGGUGAAUAUGAGAAACUUCAUUCUUUCUUUACCAAAGUAGGAACUACUCAUCAUGUGUCAUGUUCUCAUGCACAUCAACAGAACGGGUCAGCAGAGCAAAAGCAUAGACAUAUAGUUGAAGUUGGUCUUUUCCUUCUAGCUCAUGCAUCUAUGCCCCUAAAAUUCUGAGAUGAAGCCUUUCUUGCAGCAACUUUUCUUAUAAAUAGAACUCCUACUAAGGUUCUCCAAUAUGACACACCCACGGAGCGUUUGUUUCAGGUCUAGCCCGACUACUCAUCCUUGAGAGUUUUUGGGUGCUCCUGCUGGCCUAACUUGCGUCCUUUUAAUACCCGCAAACUCCAAUUUCGCUCCAAAGAAUGUGUGUUCUUGGGAUACAGUAACCUACACAAGGGGUUUAAGUGUCUCAGAUAUUUGAAGCAAUCAACUAAGAUUGGAUUGAAAAUUAGUAAGAGCAACUCACUGCUUGUGAGCGGGUUCUCUGAUGCAGAUUGGGUUCUCGACAGGAGGCUUUGCUAUUUUUCUAGGGACUAAUCUUAUGUCUUGGAGUGCACACAAACAAGCUACUGUGUCAAGAUCGAGCAUAGAAGCAGCUGCAGCAAAUGCCACAGUUGAAAUUAUGUGGAUACAGACACUUCUAAAAGAGAUUGGUAUAUCACAUCCUCCAAUGGCAAAAAUAUGGCGUGACAACAUUGGAGCCAAGUAUCUAUCAGCUAAUCCUGUGUUCCAUGCUAGAACUAAACAUAUUGAAGUUGAUUAUCAUUUUGUACGAUAAAGAGUUUUGAAGAAAUUAUUAUGUAUUGAUUAUGUACCUAUACUCUGAUUGAGGGAGGGUGUAAGAAAUAGAGUUUGGUUAGCAUAAGUGAUAUGUAUUGUUACAUCUAGAAUAUCUAUCCUUGGUAUUGUAGAUAGAAGGUUGUUAAGAUUAUUUACUUGUAAACCAAGGAUGAUUGUAACUUAUCUGUAAGUCACGGAUGGGGCUGUUCCAUCCCUAUAUCAACACGGCAUGGGUGCAUCACUUUAACCCAAAACUACUUCUGCAUCUUUGAUUAACUUUCACAAAUAUCUAAUUACCGAGCAAAAGCUAACGUCCAAUGUUUGGUCAGAUAUUUACGGAUGGUGCGACAAGGCCACCGAUAAAGCAAUAGAUUUACCGGAGUGGAUAUUGUUUUGCAAGAGCUAUGGUGAUAGGCCAACUUGCAGGCACGUCAUACAUGAGCAACUGACAAAUCUAUGAGAUUAUGUUUUAAAUAAUUAAUUAAUUAAAUUCAAAUAAAUUAAAUAACAUAUCUAUGUAUAGGCAAUACAUGUGUAAAUUUGGUUUUUAUAGUUAAUAGCAAAUCUACCCAUGCAUUGCUACGGGUACAUGAAAACUACAUCUAUAUAUUACCAUACUAUAUAAUAUGGUCUAUAUGUAGCUAAUCAUGUUUUAAAAUAACUCUAACCAUAUUUUAAUAUGACUUAAUAUGUACUUUUGAUGCUAUAUUUGGAUAAUUUAUAGAAGAGUAAUAGCUAUAGUUGAGUUUUAUUAGGUUGAGGAUCGGAAUGUGUGCAGUUGAGAGUUCUAAGAGUAAUAUCUAUUUAGAUGUUUGCAAAUUAAUCAAUUAAUGUAUGGACUUAUAAAUUAUGGUUAUGAACCACAAAUUUGAUUUUUUUCAUAUCAUUUUGUACCUUUUUUGGGAUAAUGUCUUGUGUGUUGAAUAUAAUCCAAUGAGAAGGACUGCAUUGAAACUUUUUAUUUAUUUCAAUGCCCUUGUUACCUACCUAAAGGACCUUUCUUUGGAAAAUAUGUUUGUAAAGGGCUGUCAUCUAAAAAUGCAACUCAUCUAAAAUAUCUCGUGUGACUCACCUGCUUGACUUGGUCGUGUGACUCCCCUGCAACUCAUCUAAAAAUAUGUUUGUAAAGGGUUCGCGUUCACCACUGUGUUGUCUUAGCUGGUUGACUACUUCAUGACUAUUUUUUGGAGCCUCGUGAUUGCCACCAUGGACUGCAACGUCUCUGCUGCCAUCCUGGUGGGCCAAGUUGUGAGGAAUAGAUGGGAUCGGUGAUUCCUUGUCAAGUAGUUUGUAAGCUUGUUCUGCGAGUUGUGCUAUUAACUCGUUGCCCCUUUCCGCGAGUUGUGUUGUUAACUCGUUGUCUCUGUCAUGUGGUAUGAGAGUUGAUAUGAGAUUGAUCGAGGCAAUUGCUGCAAGUGGAGUGUUGUGCUCUCGAGCUUGCACUGCAUCGAAUGCUCUUUUGAGGUUCACGAUAGGAAUGUUCGUAGCUAGUAGUUGGCGACGAUCUGCUCGCGCAGCAUUGCGUGCCCUUCUUUGAUUUCUCUGUUCAGAGGUUUCACCUUGCGGGGUGUUAGCUGACAACUCAUCUUGUGAGAUGUCAUUGAGUUGUCCAACCCGUCGAGGAGUUUUUUGGUGGCUGGCACCUACGUCGUUGUUUGGUGAUGUGAUGAUGAAGAUUUCUCUGUCCGGGUAGUAGCUUCUAGAGCUUGAUGUUGCAAUCUCCGUAGUGCUUCCUUCUUUGCGGGUUUAAGUAAGUGGGAUACCCUCUUGAUACGGGAGGUUGUCCAUGUGAGAGAUAAGGCGCGACUCAUAAUCUUGGGCAAGGAACAGUGGCUUUAUCCCAGGCCAAUAAACGAAUCUACUUUGCGGAGUCGAAGUAAUUACCAAGCCUUGAGCUGGGCCUGAUAAAGGGAUCUCUUGGAUGGAGUCUAAGUCGUAGUCACAGUCCUCGACUGACUCGAGUCCGGUUUGGACUCGAGUGAGGAGUUCUUGGUGGACCGCGGCUGCGUUGCGGAGUCUGAGCGGGAAUCGACUUCGGGUUGGAGUUAGUUUGCGUGAUGACUUUGACGCCAGCCGGCGUUUGCUAGUCCGAGUCGGGGUUGAGUCUAAGGCGUAGUUGAACUCGAUGUCAUUGACAUUGAACUUUUUGAUUUUCCUGACGAAAUCCUCUACUUCUUGACGAUCAGAGUUUUUGUCAGAACGCUUCAUCUCCUGGUUGUUGAUGAUGUAGCGUUGAAAAGAUCUAGCGUCAUCGAUGAUGCAGAGCCAGGAGCCAAAGAUGAAAGUUGCAUCUGCCUCGAAGGCAAACACUGGUUUGAUGAUGACUGGUGCCACCGAUCUCGCGCGGAGAAACUUGGCGACUUCACCUACCUGGCGCGCUAGCUGUCGGUGUUUUAGACCGGCAACCCGCCUAGGGAGUACCCAAGGUGGUCUUUUGUGUGGUAGGUGUCGUCGAGAAUCAAGGAGUUGAUGGUGAUGCAAGGAACACGGUUUAGACAGGUUCGGACUGCUAGAUCGCGUAAUACCCUACGUCCUGUGUGUUGGUUGUAUUGAACUUGUGUUGAGUUGUGCUUGCUCUCUGGAGGGGGUCCCUGCUCGCCCUUAUAUAGUCAGGGGAGCAGGGUUACAGGGCAGGACUUCUAGUCGAGUACAUUAUAGAGUCCUACUCUAACUCGGUAGAGUAGUUUCCUUUGGACCCGACUAGUCUUCGGGGGGUCCAGGAAGCCUACGCGCCCUGCAAAGUAGUCUUCAUGUCCGAGCAGGUUUCGGGUACGUUCGCCUGAUCGGGUCCAUACAAGUCUUACAAGUCUUCCGAUGGGCCCUAGGGUGCCCAGCCGACAACCAUCUCUACCACCGCGUCCGAACCAGCGCACCCGCCUCCGUUCCUACCUACCCAGCCAGCCACGCGUGGGCCCAGACCUUGCGUGUCCCCACAUGUCAUCGGUGCUCAACGUGUGGUCAUCUACUUAUCUACCCGCCCAUGCUUUCACCAUGGGAGACGGAAACCAACGAUGCUACCAUCCACACGUCACUUGAACGGAGCCGUUCCGUUUCAUUCCGUCCAACUGCGACUGCUACCUACUGCUCCGUGACUUUUCCCCUCUCUGUUCCCCACGCCAUGGCACCGCCCAUGGCCAGAGGUUGGUGCUGGGAGGGCAGGGCCAACAACAGCUUCGGCGGCUGUACCACCUGCCCUGCUGAGGUGGCGGUGGAGAGGUCGGGCUUGACGUCGGUGUCGGGGGCGUCAGGUAGCGGGAGGCGCUCGUAGACAACGUUGGCGAAGGUGGCGGCGAAGACGGUGAUGGGCCCCGCGGCGACGAGCGGCCCCACAAUGCAGUCGCCGACGACCUGGCCCUACCCGGUGGAGAGCAGGCCCGACACCUUGGGCGGCGCUCUCUUCCCUCUCCUUCUCCUCCGCCGGAUUCGACCGGCCCCCACUCCCUCUUCCCUCGCUCCUCCUCCCUCUCCCGGCCGAGGCGGCGCAGGCGGCUGGGGCCGAGGCGGGGCGGCGCGGCCGGGGCCGGGGAGACGGCUCGGGCAUGGCCGAGUGGGGCGGCGCGGCCGGGGCGGGCGGCCGGGCUGAGGUAGCACGGUGCGGCCAGGGCCGGGGAGGUGGCUUGGGCCUGACCGAGGCAGCUCGGGUGCGGUCGGGCGGGCGGCCGGGACCGAGGCGGGGCGGCACGGGAGCCCUCUGGACGGACGGAAUUUUUUUGGCAGAAGCUUUACUUGCUUUAAUAUUAGGUAGAGAUUUGACAAAUAAAGCAUAAAAAACACUUUGAGUACAAAUAUUUGAUGCACACAAAUGUGGCCGUAUGUACAGAAUAUCUUAAAUAAAUGUUGGAAGAGGGUAAAGAUAUAUAUAAGUGAAUUGUAAGAAGAACAUAGUAUUGAAUCUAGCUGCGCUAUUUGCGUGUCACUUUGCUAGUUCUUCAUAUGCUAGAGCUAGACCGUGACUGAAAUGAUCGUAGGGCGCACCUUGGCGGAGCAAAAUGCAGGUCACUGACGCAGGAGAUCGACCAACCUAUUGAAAUUCUCACGCGAGGAGCCGCCCUCGCCGAGGCACUUGGAAGCAGCAUCCCUCAGCAUCCUUGCCCUCUCCGCCAUCCCCUCGUCGCCGAUGACCCUUUCCUCCUUUGUCACGAUACCAUCUUCACCGGACGAUACCGCCAAGCCUGUCCUCCAGGUGUCGCAGAUGUAACUCCGGUUCGCGAACUGGUCGACGAAGUAUGGCCAGCACAGGAACGGCACGCCGUCCCUCACCCCUUCCAUCGUCGAGUUCCACCCGCAGUGCGACACGAAGCACGCCACGGCGCGGUGCGCCAGAACCUGAACGUUGAGACGAGGAGUAAGUCGAGAAAUCAGAACCACGAAUCCACGAUCAUGAGGGAGCAAAGAUGAACAUGGUCGAUCUGGUAACUACUACACCUGCUGCUGGGGGCACCAGCUGACCACCAUGCCCUUUCCGGCGACACGAUCCUUGAACUCGUCGAACCACGCCUCGCUCAGGUCGCCGGUCGUGAAGUCCGGGCGCACCACCCAGAGGAACGGGCGGCCAGUGAGCUCCAGCCCCUCAGCGAGCUCCGUGAACUGGCGCGGGUCGAAGAUGGCGAAGCUGCCGAACGCGACGUACACGACGGAGCCGUCGGGCUGCGCGUCGAGCCACGGCAGCCCCCCGUGUCCUCCGGGAAAAACUGCCCCACGGGCUUCCGCAGCGCCGCGUCGGCGAACAGCGGGCCGAUGGGCAGGAUGCCCGGGAACAGCUCGAACGCCGCGGCCUCGGCGCCGCGGAACGAGUCGCACACGAUGAUCUUGGCGUGGUCGCGUGCCGCCUGGGUGUUCCGGGAAACCAGCUGGUAGGCGAGCUCCCGUCCUUCGAUGGCGCCGUCGAUGCUCCAUGGCAUCUCCGACGGGCACAGCGGCGGCAAUCCCGGGGCGAGCUCGAACGAAUCGUGCCGAUUCGAGGUUCAUCAGCUCUCAUUCGCCACACAGGACACAGUGACACACUGUGAAAAUGAAUUUCCCUUGGUAUUACGUCGUGCGAGGAAUCGAGGAGACAACCAAAAUUAUUAUGCCAAGCAAACAAAUUGAGAUCACACAAGACAUCUCGAGCUAGCAAUGGUGAUGCUUCAUGGUUCAUGCAACUAACCAUACCCUUUUCGUCGAAGAAGCCUUCCUCGAUCAGCUGGGGGACCUUGAACAGCGUCCCGAGGCACGCCGCGGAGGCAGGGAACACGGCGGCCACCCGGACGCCGAGCUUCUUGGCGGCCUCUAAGCACAUCCCCAUGUUCACGUCGCCGACGAGCCACUUGACCUUUGUCUCCCUGAUGAGCUGCUCCAGGUAUCCCGGCACGCACCGCGAGAGCGCGUCCACGAACCUGCAGAGGUCCCUGCGGUCGUCGCCGUCGCCCAGCCCGUCGGGGACGGACACCAGGCGGAUCCCGUCCGGGAGCGCGGCGCUGCCACCGGCUGCCGGCGGAGGCCGCAGGGCGGCGAGCACGAGGGCGUGGAUGGGCUCGGUGUUGACGAAGGUGACCUGGAAGCCGCGGUCGACGAGGCGGUGCGAGAGCUCCAUGAGAUGGGUGACGUGGCCCUGCGCCGGGAGCGGCAGGACCAGGACGUGAGGCGCCGCGGUGGCCGUGUCCAUGGGCUGCCUCUGCGAGCUCGUUCUCUCCGUAACCUGCGCGGCGGUGAGCUCUGCGGCCGUGCAGUCGGCCGGCGAGGCGCGAGGAGUGUGUGGAGCACUGGAGCGUGACAACCUGCGGGCAAGUGGGGAGUUUUGAUGUGAAGAGUACUCUUCUUUUCCACAUCGUCAACGUCAAAUGUUUGCACGCGAGUCAUUGCUCUUAUCGACAUGCCGGAUGAAACGAGAGAUUUUUUUAUCGGCCAAAUUACUCCUAUACUUUCGUUCAAUUUACCUCUAAACACUAUUUAGUUCAACUUGUUCUUUUUUUCUCUAUACACAAGUUGAAAUUUAAUUUAUUUCUCUAUACACAAGUUGAAUUUUAAUUUAAGAAUUUGCAGGAUGAUAGUGGACACCAUAGUCUAUAUUAAAAAAAUAUUUUAUGAAUUUUUCAUCAUUAUUUUUUAAUAUAAUUUUGUAUCUCAAGGAUAAGUUUUAUUAUUAAAUAUCCUACCCUAUCAAAAUAAUGAUAAAAAUUCAUGAUAUAUUUUUCUAACAUGUCUUAUGAUGUCUUGCUAUCAUCUUGCAAAAUUUAAACUUAAGCCUCCACUUGUGCAUGCAUGAAGAAACAAAAAGAUAAAAAUGGCAUAGUUUAGAGGUUAAACUGAAAAAAAAUACUUUAGGGGUUUAGGGGUUAUCUAGACUUGGUUAUACUUGAGGGGAGUAAUUUGAAUUUUUUUAUCAGGAGUGAUAAAUGGUGGAUUCCUGUCCACUGAAUUCUCUCUUCCACGUCACCGGUAAAGUGUACGGUUUCGGAGGUGAAAAAUCCAGCUGCCAAGCUAAGAAACACACUAAUAUAGUAGAUGAAAAUUUCAGCACCUUCGUUUUAAAAAGUAAAUUUCUCGAGGAACGCAUAUUUGACAUUUGACAACGAUUGGGCACUAGCUAAGCCGGGGUGUGCAGUUCAUAAACUCAAGACAGAUGAAAACGGCUGAAUCUAUACCUAUACCUAUUAUUAAAGCGAGUAACGUCUCUGCCUGCAAUUUUCGUCCGUCGCGCUCGUUUUGCAAAAAACCCCUCAGACUUUCGUGAAAUCAACCCGCAGUCCAUCGAUUAGGGCCGGUCAUUUUUGCAAAAAAACCCUGUGACUAAUUAGCAACAAUGCAUUAACAUAGUCAUUUGUCAACAAUGGAAAAUUCAGAGUUGAUGUCAGGGACAGCAAAACAAUGGUCCUCACAGUUACUCAUAAGCAAAAGCAGCAAGCCAUAGCCAGUAAAGCAAUAGUUCAGAGUUUAUCAUAUGACAUUAUGACACUUCUGAUCCAAAUAUCACAUGUGAGAGAAGAUAAAAGGUUAUGAAAUAAGAAAAAUAGUAACCACUAUGCACCUUAUAGUAAGUUGACCCAUACAGCUUCAUAAAAACAUUCACCGCCGGCUCCUGUAAUACCGACCUCCUCCUCCUCGUGUAAUACAUAUCGGAUAACAAAAGGUAAAUAAUCAUCUAAAUCUGAGGUGAACUUCAAAUUCUGCAGUAAAUCCAAACAAUGGGAGUACCAACACUCGAGUAAACAAUCAAGGAAUCAUUUCGCACGAUUAGCCUUGCUCAGAGCUACCGAGCUAGCUUGGGUCGAAAGCAAAUGACGCGAAGGGGAAACGGACCUUGCAAGAAGCGGCGGAGCGAGCCGGGACGACGGCCAGCGGGGAGUGGUCGCAGAGGGCGGGGAAGAGCCUGCCCCGGCCCCGCGGCCGUGACGAGGAGGAGGAGAGCGACGCGCGGCGGGGGCGCGGGGAGGAAGGGUCCGAUGAGGAGGCCCUACGGCGGUGCUGCUCGAAGGCGCGGAGGAACUCGAGCGCGGCCGUGGCGGGCGGGCGGGCGGCACACCCACAGGCCUCCUCUCCUCCUCCCUCCGGUCCCCACCUCCUCCUCUUCCUCUCUCUCUCUCUCUCUCUCUCUCUCUCUCUCUCCUCCCUCUUCCCCGGCCGAGGCGGGCGGCCGGGGCCGAGGCCGGGGAGGGGGCGGCGCGGGGAGGGGCGGCUCGGUCGGCGCGGGACGUGGAGGGCGGCGCGGUCGGGUCAGCGACGCGCAGCCGGGUCACCCCUCGCCCUCGCCGCGCCCAGGGGCUGCGCGGGGGCGCGCCCAAUCCCCCGAAGAAAGAGAAGCCUUUUCCCCCUUAACCCCCUCCCUUCCCUCCUUUUUCCACCCGAGCCCCCCGUCUCUUCAGAAUUGGACUGCGAGUUGAUUUCACAAAACUUCAGGGAGUUUUUGCAAAAUGACCACGACGUACGAAAACCCCAGGCAGAGACGUUACUUGUUUUAAUAAUAGGUAAAGACUUACCGUCUUUAAUCAUCAUUUUCUAAUAAAACUUUUAGCAAUGGAGCGCAAGUGAUAUGGAUGAGAUGAAAAAAAAUCAAAUAUAUAGCUAUAUUUCUACACUGACUCUUUAGUUAAAAUCUUCUCCAUUAGAUCAUCAAAAAGCAAACGCUCCGUAUAGGAGUAUAUAUGAAUCUCGAUAUGUUAGCUUAGAUUUUUAUUCUUGCACAGCAGUAGCAUGCACGUACAUGAAUAUUGAUCUGUUAACUUCUUGAUUUUAUUUAUGUUCUUUUGUUUUUUCUAGAGUUGUUGGCAAAGAAGAUUUCCAUCUACGGACGGGGCAAUGCAUUAACGCUGCAUGCAGGAUGCGAACGGACGCGCGCCUCGUCCCAACAAAAAAGUAGCGCCGACUCCUACGCAGAUCAAAACCGAACACCUUUCCCGACGCAAUACGUAUAGAUGAAAAACGAAUUGAGGGAGCAUAUAGGAAUCAAACUACUUAUUCUUCAUAUUUUAAUUCCAAAGUUAAUUAUUAUAGUUGUACUGGAUAUUGACUAUUUGGCUGAUUUAGACCGUCAUAAAAUCCAGCUGUGUAUAUUCUUCUCUUUUUUAAUUCCGAAAUUAAUUAUUAUAGUUGUGUUGGAUAUUGACUGUUUGGCUGAUUAGAUCUUCAUAAAAUUCAAUGAUGUAUGUUUUUCUCUUUUUUCGAUUAAUAUGGAAAUUUCUAGAACCUCUCAACGAACAUUAUUGUAUUAAGAUAAUAGAUUGCAGGUUGGGUUCUUAAGAAAGUUAUUACGUGCAUAACAGUUAUUUCUCAUUAAUUUUGCACAAAAUUGUCGAGGUCGGCUGACCUCGAUAAAAGGGCCUAGAUCCAAGCAUGGUAAAACUUCAAAGCACUAGCUGCAGAAAUGUUGAGGGAAGAAUAAAGCUAGCUGAAAACCCUGUAUUUUUUAAACUUUCAUUUUUGUGAAAGAAAGGGACAUGUUUUUAAUAUGUUUUCCAAUAUAGAACAUUAAACUUUAUGAAAAUUUAGUAGGAGUACAUAAUCGAAUAGCUGAGGUGGUUCCUCAAAUGCCUCUUUAUGAAGGUGAUUCCAUUCAUCACUUAAUGAAGGUGCAUCGUUUUCAUUCACUUAGCAAGUUCACAAACUUGUUGAAGUUCUCGGACGACGAUCCACUUCCACCGAUGCACCGGCGAGAAGCAUCCAUGAAGAGUUGUGCCGUCUCCUUGAUGUCGUCGUCGCCGAGGACCUGCUCCACCUUGCUCCUCAACUCCUCCUUCGUCACGAUGCCAUCCGCGCCAGGCGACACCGCGACGCCGGUCUUCCAAACAUCGGUGAUGUAGGUCCGGUCCAGGUACUGAUCACAGAAGUAGGGCCAGCACAGGAACGGCACGCCGUUCCUGACACCCUCCAUCGUCGAGUUCCACCCGCAGUGGGAUACGAAGCACGCCACCGCACGGUGCGCCAGGACCUGUUAGAAAUGAAAUAGAGCAUAUUCCAUCACACACUCUGUCGCCAUGUUAAUUUCUAUCAGUAGCUGCAGUGACCUGUUGCUGGGAACACCAGCUGACGAUGAUGCCCAUGCCGGCGACGCGUUGCUGGAACUCGGCGAGCCACGCCUUGCUCAGGCCGACGGUGAAGUCCGGCCUUACCACCCACAGGAACGGGCGCCCGGUGAGCUCCAGCCCCUCGGCAACCUCCUCGAACUGGCGCGUGUCGAAGAUGGCAAGGCUGCCGAAAGCUACGUACACGACGGACCGGUCCGGCUGCGCGUCGAGCCACUUGAUGCAGCUCUCGUCUUCCGGCAGGAAGUGUCCCACGGGCUUCUGCAACUCCUGGUCGGCGAACAGCGGGCCAAUGGGCAUGAGGUUGGAGAAGAGCUUGAACGCCCCAAUCUCGGCCUCAUGGAACGAGUUGCAGAUGACCACCUCGCCGAGGUUCUCCAACUUGUAGAACCUUGUCAACGCCUGGAACAACGCCGGGUUCCCUACUGGCGCGCCCAUCUCGACCAUCCACGGCAUCCUCGUCGUAUGGAGCGGCGGCAUCUCGGGAGCGACCUGGAACGUCUCAUCUCGCUCUGGCCAGCCUGCAAUACGAGCACGGGUUGUUCGUAUGGUUGAGUAGAAUUAUUCAUCAACCUGUUCUCCCUCAGGAGUUUUAAUUUUAGGUGUCAUAAUAAGUAGUAUUAAAAAUUAAAAAAAAACCAGUGGCUAGUAAUCAAAACCCUCAUAUAGGAACAUAUUUAUCUUUACCCGGUAAUCAGUUUGUGAUAAACGUUAGUUAGUAGUUACUGUAUACACAUUUUCAUCAAUGUUUGUAGUUUUUCACUUUGUAUUGCACCUGCAUAUUUUUUAAUUAAUACUUAACUUAAGCAACAUGUGUUUAACGUGAAAAUCAAUAUUCUUAUAUCUUCUUCUAUAUGGUCUACGUAAUGGCAUACAUCAUACAUGCCGUAACUUAGUAUUUUCUAUAAUAACAUAAAGAAAAGGGUAAUCAGAACCAUAUGUUCAUUUGGGUGUUUUAUAAUGGCACAAUGGGGCUAAUUUGUGUUAUUUUUAAUAAUGGUAUAUGUAUAUAAUUUAAAUAAAAUGAAAAUCUAUAGACUAUUUUCUUAUUUUUAUUUUAAAUUACCUUUUAUAAUAGUAUAGGUGAGCAAUUUAGAUAUCUAAAGUAACCUUACAACUUUUAUCGAUAAAGAUUGUAAGGUUACUUUAGAUUAUUUUUUAUGAUGGUAGAGGUGGUUAGACUCUGUUUGAAAUUUGGAUCAUUAGCUAUUAAUAUUUAGCUAGCUGAUAGCUCAUGACUAAAAUUAGCUAGCUCACUAGCUGAAGGGUACAUGGAUCCAUAAGGUAAUAAAUUGGUUAAGGUGGUUGGAACUGUUAAAUGUCCGGAAUGCAGGCAAACAUGAAAAAAAAGGAUAAAACUAAUUUUAGCUUGAUUGGGAUAGCUAAUGGGAUAAUUGUUAGCUAGUGCCAUGCUAAUUGUUAGAACGUUUAUUAGCUACCACCCGUUUGAAUCCUUAGCACCUAACAAUUAUAGAUAUAGAUAUAGAUAAUUAGAUAUAGAUAUAGGGGUUACUUUAGACUAUUCCAUAAUUAUAAAGGUGGGUAAUCUUUUUUAAAAACACAAUGUAUCAGGUAACUAAGAUGAUAAGAGUCUAUCAGAUUAAUGUCGGAUAUUUAUGAUUUUUAUGAGAAUGUUUAAGAUUUAUCCUUUUCCUAUCACAUCUCGUAAAGCUGUAGGAUUAACGUGAAGCCCCUAAAGAAAACUAUUAGUAAGAUGUAAUCUUUGACUAAACCGCAAGACGGAAUAUGUAGUUGUAAGUUUUAAAAGGGACCAGCUUGCAACUAUUAGUACACGCACCCUGCUCGUUGAUGAGUCCUUCCUCUACCAACUUGGGGAUGUUGAGCAUGAUUGCUAAGCACGCCGCCGACGCCGUCCAGAACGAGGCGAGCCUGACGCCGAGCUUCUUGGCGGCCUCAGAGCACGCACCCAAGGUCAUGUCGCCGACGAGCCACUUGAACUUGGGCCUCCCGGCCGCCUCCAUCUCGGCGACGAGCCGCUCCAGGUGCCCCGGCAUGUGCUGGUAGCAGGAGUCGACGAGCUUGCUGAGGUCCUUGCGGUCCUCGUCAUUGGCCAGCCCGUCGGGGAUGGAUGCCAGGUGGAUGCCGCCAAGCACCGCCGCGCCACCCGCCGGCAGCGCCGAGAGCACCCUCGCAUGUUGCAUCUCGGUGUUCACGAAGGUAACCUCGAAGCCUUGGUCGACCAACCGGUGGGAGAGCUCCAUGAGUGGGGUGACGUGGCCCUGAGCCGGGAACGACAGAACGAGGAUGUGAGCCUUGGCCAUGCCGUGCUCUGGAUGCGCAGGACCAGAGGCGUGCUUGUUUAUUUGCAGCCACUGGAUGCCAGAAUGCCGGGCAUUGUCUCGUUGGUAUACAUGUUCUUUUAUAGUUUACCUGAACAUAUCUAUGGAUCCUUUUGAUGUUCUUUCGCCUGUGGGUUUUUAAGUGCAUUUUUAAUGUUCUUUAUUUGCUUUAACUCAUCUGUGGAUCUUUGAGAUGUUCUUUAUUUACUCGGUAAUUCAAGCAUCUAUCUAUCUAUCUAUUUGUAUCUAUCUAUCUAUCUAUUUGUGUGCCUAUCUAUCUAUCUAUCUAUCUAUCUAUCUAUCUAUCUGUAGCGGAACCACCUCGGAUUAACUCAACUAAAGCACGGUUAAGUCGCUUAAGAUGCGAUCCUCAUACCUUAAUCGCGUUAACUCGAGGUGCCGUCGGAUUUCAUCCGAUUUAACCACUUGACAGGACCGAGUUAGCAUAACCCACACGAAGGUGAGUGGUUCCAGAGAAUACAACAGGUCCACCAUUUGAUUAACCAGUUGUUACACACUUGGUUGUAAAUCAGAGUUUAACAAGUUCUGAAGAAAACAACAGAAGAUAAAACAAAGCGGAAGCUACUCGUCAGGGUCGGAUGUCCCUGGUGAGGCCAGCCAGGACAUCAAUGAUCCCAUUCCCCGCUGUCCGAGGAGGGAUCCCACUCGACCGUCCAACCCGGAGGGAGCUGGGGCGGCCAAGUGCCAGCAGCAAGCUCAGAAGCUGCAACUUCACCUCAAAAGAGAAGCCACAAACAAGGCUGAGGUUCUAAGCUCAACAAGACUUAACCGACCGGUAGGAAAAACUACUCCACCACGUCUAGACAUGCAAGACUCUUUGGCUGAGGGGUUUGUUUGCCAAAAGCACUAUGUAGAUCCUUAUUUCCAAGUUUUAGCUCAAAUUCUAAGUUCAUUAACCAGUCUACAUUUGCAACUUACUCUAAGCAAACAUAGAUCCAACUUUAUGCAAACAAGCUCAUCAUCAAGGUCAUGUCAUCAUCAGACUCUUUUAUUACUCAGUGUAGCAUAGCGAUCAAGCAGUCUCAAACUGUGAGAGGUAGACGAAUCGAUUCGAGUUCUUUAACCAUGCAUGGUGAACCUAAUCUCAUGAUAUCCGCGCACCACCGAGGGUCGCUUCCUGUGUCGGCCUUCCCCAUCAAUUCCCUAACCCGUGUCGGACCCACUUCCUUUGGUGCAAGGUUCCACAGACCCGGCCUGUGCCAUUCUGUGACCACACUUGCCACCACGUGCGGCCGCAGGGGAACUUCCUUCCAAGGACAGUGGGGCGACCGCUCACGUCUAGGUUCAAUCAGGUACUAGGCUUCCCCAUCCCAUACUGAGUAUGAGGUUAGUACUUUCAAACACUUGAUCAUGAACACCACCACUGUCGGGCCUUAACAGAUUCAGUAAACAGAUGAGGCGAUCAGCUGACCAGCAAAAGAGUUAACCAAAACCCUGCCUCGUCCAUCGUCCUUAUAGUUGUAACAUAAGGGAAACCAACCAACUCCUAUAACUCGCGAGUGACAGGAAAUCACUCGGCUUUUACCGAUUCCUAUUUAAGCAUAGCAACUACUCGACCCAACAGACUAGUGUACAUUUCAAAGGAACUAGGGCAUGCAUCUAUGGUUGCAGACAACUCCUAUACGUAAAUGCACAAUCAUGAGAAGGAAGGCAUGCGCAAGUUUGGAAAGAUGGGUUCAUGCUCCGGGCUUGCCUUCAAGCGGAGGGGAGGAGAACUGGUCUUCAGCUGGGGCGGCUUCGGCUUCUGGAGUUGGCAGCUCAGCUACAGCUCCGUCUUCGGGCGCCGGGUGUAGCUCGUAGACGCCGUCAGCGAGAUGUAACUCUACACGAAUGCAAUGCAGGAGUUAGUGUUUAGACGGUUAUUUCAACAACACUUGCAGUUUAAGCUCGGACACUUGUAGCAAGGCUACAGAAAAGGUGGGGAAGUUUACUUUAGUUGGUGGAGAGCAAGAUAAAAGGGUCGGAUGGGAAUAGACUUGUGAUCUGACCCUUAAACUUUAAGGGAUAACUGUGUUCGAGGUCCUCAGACUUAACGUAGAGAAAUCCCAAUCUUUUACACAGAUACCCUUGGGUCAAGGAAACAGAUACAGCCGAGCCCUCCGGCGAGGCGGAUAAGGGUCGGCGGAACAGACAGGGUUGGGCGAGACGGAAAGGGGUCGGGCAAACAGAUAGGGUCGGGCGAACCGGUAAGGGGUCGGCAGCUUACCUUCAGGGUUAUAGGUGAAGCUUUGGGGUCGGGAAGGAACAGACUUGGGCGGAAGGACUCAAGCGCUAAGGCUUGGGCGGCGGCGAGGUUGGAGGGUGCUCCGGCGGCGACGGAGCUUCUUGUGGGCAACAAGGAAGCUCUAGCACAGCACGGAGGAGCAGACGGCUGGGUGGAUUGGGGAGAAGCGGGUCUGAGCGGAGAAGGGGAACUCUCAAAAGUUUCAGUGGGAUUGCUCAAGUGUGCUCAGAGUAGGGACGGCGAAACAGCAAAGGCGAAGGAACUCCGGAGGAACUCUGGCAUUCCCUUUUAUAGCGGCGCGAAAGAGAGAGAGAUGGAGUAGCACGAAGACCGGAAGAAAAUGAUGGAGUGCGCUGCCAUGGCGGCGAUUGAGCGGCGAUGGGCGGUGGAACAGAACUUCGGAGAUAGCGUCUUCGGCCAUUGGGCACUGGAGACAAGGCGGCGCAGGCGCGGUUUUGCCGGGGUUGAGAUUUGGCGGAGGCGGGCAUCGUCGAGCGGCAGAUUUGACUGGUGUGACAGGGAGAACAUCACUACAAGCGAGGUUGCAACAGGUGAAAAGACAGGGCGAGCUGCGUUGCGGUCGAGCACAAAACAGCGGCAUUGCCGGAGCAUGGCACUGGUGGGGCGAGAAAAGGAGCUGUCGCUGCCGGAGUCGGGGUUGGCGAUGGAGGAAUCAAGCCACACGGCGGAGAAGCUCUGAAGCGGCGCAUGCUGCUUGGGUGCGUCUGCCUCGGAAGAUUCGGUAAAGAUUUUGGGUCCACCAGUCAGUCUCGGUUGUUCCACAGCUCCAAGAUUGAAAGGAACACUGCGGUUGAGACUUAGAAGGAACCGGUGGUUCUGGUUGGGUUUUCAGGGGUCGGGACCGGGAACUGGAGGUUGAGCGCUUAAGCUCAGGGGAGCUAAGUCAGCGGGAUUAGGGACUUGGAUUAGGAUUAACUCGGCUGAUUUAACCAGGAUCGUUACACUAUCUAUCUAUCUAUCUAUCUCGGCGUCCAUGCAUGCGAGUUUGGUUGCACACCACCUCUCUCGGUGUCUCAUCUCCAUGACACCAUUGACUGCAACAUACAUUCCAACAUGCUUGUAUGUAAUUGUGAUGACGCCUCCUACGGCCUCGUAGACAAUGGCCAUCUUGCACCUGUUGCCCUCCACAUUCAGCUCCAAACCUUCGAAUUGCCCCUUGUAGAUGGUUGUAUUGUCCUCAAGUUGCUCCGUCACUAGAUCCAUCACUCCGCUCCUGAAUCCAAAUGCUACUCCAUCCAAAUUAAAUGAUGCGCUCUCUAUCACCCGUUGAAGUCCUUUCCCCUAACUGUCAGCAAUGACUAUGAUCUGCGAUUACUAGGGUGGGUGCAAUUUUUUGCAUGUUUGUCUAGCUCUGAUAACCCUACUCGUUGUGGCGGAGGUCGGUAGGAGACAAACACACUUGAUUGCAUAUGCAUUUCAUCCUCCUCCUCCUCCUCUCUCUCUCACACACACACACAACUAAAUCUCUCGCAAGGCGCAUAUGAAAUUUAGUCAACAUGGUAGUGUGGCUGCUGUGUUUGUCAAGGUGUUGGCUCUAAUGGUGAUGGUUGUCGUGAUUGGAAUCGUGUGAACUGUUGGGAUACGAGGUAGGCUACGCUAGCGCAAAUCAAAAUUUUCUACCGCGUAUAACCAGGAAGAACUGCCGUAUAAGGAUCACGGGAUUACCACUCGACGCACUACUGGUGCGGAAGAUGUAGAUAUGCGUCGGUGCAGUGAAGACGAUCACGUAGUCGUACGUAGUCGAUCACGUGCAGCAGCUCCUCAGCAGCUCGUCCACGUGCACAGCAAGAUCGCCUCCGGUACCGCGGCUCGUCGUCGGCUCGUCGUGGCUCGUCGGCGGCUCGUCCAAGUGCUGCAGGCGCAACACCUCCAAGGUAUCCACACGUGCAGGGAGGAAGCGUCGCAAGCCGGAUUGCUAGAUCCGCGAGUUGCAACAGGCGAGGGCGUGGGAGGCGCGGCAAGUGUAUUCAGCCAAAAGGUGUAAACCCUAGGGCGCCCCCACCCCUUUAUUUAUAGAGGUUCUUGAUGGGCCUCUGGAUCCGAGGCCCAUUAGUACUCCUAAACCUAAUCCAACUCGGAUCAGAUCCGAAUUGGGCUUCCAGCCCCUUAAGUGUGUGACCCUAUGGGUUCGGAUACGUAUAGACAUGGCCCGAGUACUCCUACUCGGCCCAAUAGUCGGUAGCGGCCUCUAGCAAGACGUGCCAACUCCUAUACGCACACGAAGAUCAUAUCAGACGAACCAUCGCAACAUAAUAUACAUGCUAUUCCCUUUGCCUCACGAUAUUUGGUCUAGCUUCAAGCCGACCGCUCUUUCUCGAUCCUGUGAUUCGGAAUCCCUUUGUAGGUUAACUCUUAACCGUACGUAGCAUGGCCAUGCAUUUUCGGAUCCGAUCACUCGAGGGGCCCAGAGAUAUCACUCUCAAUCAGAGAGGGGCAAAUCCCAUCUUGAUUGACCAUGUCUCAUAGCAUGCUUCUUGACAAACCCGAAAGCUACCUUUAUAACUACCCUGUUACGGCGUAGCGUUUGAUAGCCCCUAAGUAGGUCGAUCCACAUCUAGAAUACAUGCGACAAUCUCAGGUCUAAGGACAAAGCGUAUAUGUUGUUUAAAGAGAGAACUACUUCUCGUGUUGGGUCAGUCCUAACACAUGUCUCCACAUGUGUCCACAUUAUUAGUUCAACAUCUCCAUGUCCAUGACUUGUGAAACAUAGUCAUCAACUAAUACAUGUGCUAGUCUAAUAUUCAUGUGUGUCCUCACAUGAACUCCGACUAGAGACAACUUUAGAAUAACCAUACAAGUAAAGAGUUUCACAUACAAUUCACAUAAUUGCAAAUCAAUUCAAGUAGCCUUUAAUGGAUAUUCAAUGAACACAAUAUACAAAUCAUGGAUACAAAUGGAAUAUCAUCAUCUCUAUGAUUGCCUCUAGGGCAUACCUCCAACAGUCUCCCACUUGCACUAGAGUCAAUCUAGAAGGUACCUAAUACCCAUAGCUCUUACAUGCGCAUCAUGCUUAGCCUGCGGGAGUGGUUUUGUCAACGGAUCAGAAAUGUUCAGAUCCGUGUGUAUUUUGCAUAUCUUGAUCUCACCCCGGUUAACGAAGUCUCGAAUGAGAUGAAAUCGCCGCAUUACGUGUUUGUUCUUCUGGUGGUUCCUUGGCUCCUUUGCUUGCGCAAUUGCCCCAUUGUUAUCACAGUAGAGAUUCAAUGGGCUGGACGCAUUCGGGAACACACCAAGCUCAAUGAGAAAAUCCUUAUCCAAACACCUUCCUUCGCGGCUUCCGAAGCCGCGAUGUACUCGGCUUCUGUCGUAGAAUCGGCCACCGUCUCCUGCUUGGAACUCUUCCAACUAACAACACCACCAUUUAGUGUGAACACAAAUCCUGAUUGUGACUUUGAAUCAUCUCUGUUGGUUUGGAAACUAGCAUCGGUGUAACCUGUUACAACGAGCUCCUCCUGACCUCCAUAGACGAGGAACAUAUCUUUAGUCCUUCUCAAGUACUUAAGAAUGUUUUUCACCGCUGUCCAGUGACUCUCACCUGGAUCAGAUUGGUGUCUGCUUGUCAUACUUAGCGCAUAUGAAACAUCUGGGCGAGUACUUAUCAUUGCAUACAUGAUAGAUCCAAUAGCCGAGGCAUAUGGUACUCUACUCAUGCGAUCCCGCUCAUCAGCAGUCGAAGGACACUGAGUCUUGCUGAGAUGUAUGCCAUGUGACAUAGGCAAGAACCCUUUCUUUGCCUCUUCCAUGCUGAACCGCUUCAACACUUUGUCAAUGUAAGUAUCUUGACUCAAACCUAUAAGCCUUCUCGAUCUAUCUCUAUAGAUCUUAAUGCCCAGAAUAUAUGCCGCUUCCCCUAAGUCCUUCAUCGAAAAACUAUUUUUCAGUGAAGUCUUUACGGACUCAAGCAUAGGAAUGUUAUUUCCAAUCAGUAAUAUGUCAUCCACAUAUAAGAUUAGAAAUACUACAGAGCUCCCACUAACCUUCUUGUAAACACAAGACUCUUCUUCAUUCUUGGUGAAGUCAAACCCUUUGACCACUUCAUCAAAACGAAUGUUCCAACUCCUAGAUGCUUGCUUCAAUCCAUAAAUGGAUCUCUGAAGCUUGCAUACCUUUCCAGCAUUUUUCGGAUCGACAAAACCCUCGGGCUGUAUCAUAUACACGUCCUCAGCUAGGUUUCCAUUCAGGAAAGCUGUCUUGACAUCCAUCUGCCAUAUCUCAUAAUCGAAAUAUGCAGCUACAGCUAGAAUAAUCCGAAUGGACUUAAGCAUCACUACGGGCGAGAAGGUCUCGUCGUAGUCAACUCCUUGAACUUGUCGAAAACCUUUUGCGACAAGUCGUGCUUUAUAGAUGUGAACAUUUCCAUCCAUGUCCUUUUUCUUCUUAUAGAUCCACUUGCACUCUAUGGCUUUAACACCAUCAGGCGGGUCAACCAAGUUCCAAACUUGAUUGUCUCCCAUGGACUCUAUUUCGGAUUGCAUGGCACUCUGCCAUUUUUCGGAGUCUGGGUCCAUCAUUGCUUCUGCAUAUGUCGCAGGCUCAUCAUUGUCCAACAAUAAUAUUUCCCGCAUUUCGCGGAGCCUUGCCGACCUUCGUGGUUGUGGCGGUGCUUCUCUUGCCAUGGGUAUCUCAACUUGUUCUGCUACUUUAGCAUCACUCAUUGAUUCUUGCCCGAUUGGCUCAUCUUGAACUUCUUCAAGAUGCACUGUCUUUCCACUCUUUUCUCCUUUGAGAAACUCUUUCUCUAGGAAAACCCCGUUCCGAGCGACAAACACUUUGCCUUCUGAUCGGUUGUAGAAAUAAUAUCCCAAAGUUACCUUUGGAUAUCCCACGAAAAUGCACUUAUCCGACUUGGGUGUGAUCUUGUCCGACUGAAGUCGCUUGACAAACACUUCACAUCCCCAAAUCUUUAGAAAAGACAGACUAGGAACCUUUCCAGUCCAUAUCUCAUAUGGUGUCUUAACUACGGAUUUAGAUGGUACCCUAUUUAGUGUGAAAGCUGCUGUUUCUAGAGCGUAUCCCCAAAAUGACAACGGUAGGUCCGACUGGCUCAUCAUUGAUCGAACCAUGUCUAACAAAGUUCGAUUACGUCGCUCGGACACACCGUUUCUUUGAGGUGUUCCAGGCGGCGUAAGUUGUGGAACAAUUCCGCAACUCUUUAGAUGAUUGCUAAACUCGUGGCUCAAAUACUCGCCUCCACGAUCAGAUCGUAAGGCCUUAAUUUUCUUGCCACGCUGAUUUUCAACUUCAUUCUGAAAUUCCUUGAACUUUUCAAAGGUUUCAAACUUGUGCCUCAUCAAGUAGACAUAACCAUAUCUACUAAAAUCAUCAGUGAAAGUUAUGAAGUAUUGGAAUCCUCCUCUAGCCGUCGUGCUCAUUGGUCCGCAUACAUCACUAUGUACGAGUUCCAACAAGUCUACUGCUCUCUCAGGAAAUCCUGUGAAAGGCGUCUUGGUCAUCUUGCCUAGCAAGCAAGCCUCGCAUGUCUCGUAUGAUUCAAAAUCAAACGAAGUUAGAAGUCCAUCAGAAUGGAGCUUCUUCAUGCGCUUUUCACUUAUAUGACCCAAACGACAAUGCCACAAGUAGGUAGGACUCAAAUCAUUAGGCCGAGGCCUUUUAGCACUUACAUUACAGACAGGUGAACCAUCAAGAUUUAAAACAAAUAAUCCAUUCACAAUGGGUGCAAAAGCCAUAAACAUAUUAUUCUUAGAGAUCACACAACCAUUGUUUUCACUCGCAAAUGAAUAACCAUCCUUCAUCAAACAUGAAGGAGAUAAAAUGUUUCGACUUAAACUAGGAACAAAAUAACAAUUAUUCAACUCCAUAAUAAAUCCUGACGGGAGGUGGAGUUGCAUCGUCCCGACGGUCAAAGCAGCAACUCUUGCAUUAUUGCCUACGCGGAAAUCAACUUCUCCUCUUUCCACGCUUCUACUUCUUAUCAUUCCCUGCAUCGAAUUGCAAAUAUGAGCAACCGAUCCGGUAUCAAAUACCCAAGAAUUAAUAACUGUAUCAGCGAGAAAUAUGUUGUCUAUAACAUAAACAACAAGCGUACCUGAGGUAGAAGUACUCUUACUUCCGCCGUUCUUCAACGAAGCUAGGUACUGCUUGCAGUUUCUCUUCCAGUGACCAAGUUCAUGACAGUAAAAGCACUCUUUAUCUGGAGCAGGUCCAGGUCCAGCUUUAACCUUGGGCGGUGGGUUUGGCUUGGACGUUCCAGCCUUGCCCUUCUUCUUCCAAGAAUUGCCCUUCUUCUUAAAGCUGGGCUUGUUCUGUAUCGCCAUCACAUGGCUGGUACUAGCGCUUUUCUUUAUGUCAGCCUCUGCUGUUUUAAGCAUGCCACACAGCUCAUUCAGACCCUUCUCCGUCCCAUGCAUAUGGUAGUUCGAGAUGAAGUUCCCAUAGCUAGGAGGAAGUGACGAAAGAAUGAAAUCAGUGGCCAACUCUUGGCCCAGUGGGAAGCCUAGCUUCUCCAACCGUUGAGUGUAACCAACCAUCUUGAUUACGUGUGGUCCUACUGCUGUGCCUUCUGCUAGCUUGCUCUCAACAAAGGCCUUAGACACAUUGAACCUUUCAGUCCUGGCCUGUGUUUGGAACAUGUCUCUAAGCGCCACGAUCAUAUCGUGCGCCUCAUGGUUUGUUUCGAACUGCAUCUGCAGCUCGGGUUCCAUGCAAGCAAGCAUAAGGCAGCUUACUUCGAGGUUAGCAUCACAUGCUUUCUUGUAAGCAUUCUUAGCAGCAGCGGGUGCAUCCUCAGCAGGUUCUUCUGGUAGUGGGUUGUCUAGAACAUCUUCCUUUUUCUCAGCCCUGAGAACAAUUCUCAGGUUGCGGAUCCAAUCCGAGUAGUUUGUUCCAUUCAACUUGUCCUUCUCAAGGACCGAACGCAAAGCAAACGAUGUGGUGGUGUUGCUAGGUGCCAUUUAAUCUACAACAAAAGUAAUGCAAAAUACACUAAGACAAACGUAUCCAUGAUAGAGCAAAUUACAUUAAACUAUUUUAACAGAAUCUACUCCCACUAAAAUCAAUAUCCCUCUAUUGAAACUUAUUGAUUCAGGAUCCACAACUAACAAGUCCACUAGUGAGCUUUAGCAUCACCGCUAGCAAACGAGGUAGAUCGGUAAGCAACUUUUGCUAAUCAUAUCACAUAUGACUCCUGUUGUUGGGUGACAUCUCUAUGUCUCGGCGCCCAACCUUUAUGUCCAAGGUCCUUAACCGUUAAGAUGACCUCGUUAAGCAAACCAACCCUUAUGCGUGUAAGUGUCCGACACAAACCCGUCUAGUCAAGGAAAACUAGUGGCACCCUAAUUUCAUAGACCCACCACUAAUUGUACAAGACAUGGGACGGUGCAAGUUUUAGUUGGGAGGGCAUACUAACUUAAACUUUGUGAGGGAUCGUUCUACUUCUAACAUCACAGCAUGCAGAAAGUAAAACAUAAACAGAAUAACAUUCACACAGUUGUGACACAGUAUGGCCCGUUUUUCUUAUGGUGAUCUCCAUCUCCAUAGAACCUGUUCACCAUGGUGAUCUCCAUCUCCAUGUUCCAUGUGCGCCAUCCUCCUGGUGAUGAAUCCUCCAAGAACUAGAGCAUGCUAUUACGCCUAAUAGCUAGUAAAGAAUCUAGUAAUGAAGAUUACAUAGUUGCUUGGAUCAUCACAGAUUGGUACGCAGACCAUUAAAUACAAUAAAGUGACAACACAUAUGGCUCCUGCCGUGUUGCCGUACGCGCGACACGCAGGUCACGAAUUAGUUACACACAUGCAUCACAUACACAAGGGGGCCAUACUGAUCACAAGAUACAUGCACACAUCCUGCAAAAUAGAGUUAGGCGUCCUAACGUUACAAACUUCGGAGGUCCGAAACUCCAUCUUCCAAGUCGAAUUUGGCAAAUCUAAUUUCGCCGAAAACGACGAAGCGUUGAAAUUCACGUGUAACUUUUUCUGUAGAUCAAUUUUCGUAUAGAAAUCGCCCCGAUCCGAGAUCGUACCGAAAAGUUACGGCUGAUUUACCGAAGCAUGUGCAUACGGCAAAAUCCCGACCCCGGCAGUAGAUCUUAUCUACUAUUGCACAUCUAAUGCGCCUGGCGUAUGACCCUGGAUCUCAAUUUGACCAAUCAUAUUGAUCUUCCCUCACUGCAACUGGAUUUACGUGUAUCACUUAACUCCGAUGGCGGAAACCGACCGGUAGGAGUAUGUCGUUACACUACCAUUGCAGCAAAGGCACGAAAUCAGGACAUAGAUCAAACAGAGAACUCGCAUAUCUCCAUAUGCACACAUCCCGAAUCCAAAACUAAGCAACCUGGCUCUGAUACCACUGUUGGGAUACGAGGUAGGCUACGCUAGCGCAAAUCAAAAUUUUCUACCGCGUAUAACCAGGAAGAACUGCCGUAUAAGGAUCACGGGAUUACCACUCGACGCACUACUGGUGCGGAAGAUGUAGAUAUGCGUCGGUGCAGUGAAGACGAUCACGUAGUCGUACGUAGUCGAUCACGUGCAGCAGCUCCUCAGCAGCUCGUCCACGUGCACAGCAAGAUCGCCUCCGGUACCGCGGCUCGUCGUCGCUCGUCGGCGGCUCGUCGGCGGCUCGUCCAAGUGCUGCAGGCGCAAUACCUCCAAGGUAUCCACACGUGCAGGGAGGAAGCGUCGCAAGCCGGAUUGCUAGAUCCGCGAGUUGCAACAGGCGAGGGCGUGGGAGGCGCGGCAAGUGUAUUCAGCCAAAAGGUGUAAACCCUAGGGCGCCCCCACCCCUUUAUUUAUAGAGGUUCCUGAUGGGCCUCUGGAUCCGAGGCCCAUUAGUACUCCUAAACCUAAUCCAACUCGGAUCAGAUCCGAAUUGGGCUUCCAGCCCCUUAAGUGUGUGACCCUAUGGGUUCGGAUACGUAUAGACAUGGCCCGAGUACUCCUACUCGGCCCAAUAGUCGGUAGCGGCCUCUAGCAAGACGUGCCAACUCCUAUACGCACACGAAGAUCAUAUCAGACGAACCAUCGCAACAUAAUAUACAUGCUAUUCCCUUUGCCUCACGAUAUUUGGUCUAGCUUCAAGCCGACCGCUCUUUCUCGAUCCUGUGAUUCGGAAUCCCUUUGUAGGUUAACUCUUAACCGUACGUAGCAUGGCCAUGCAUUUUCGGAUCCGAUCACUCGAGGGGCCCAGAGAUAUCACUCUCAAUCAGAGAGGGGCAAAUCCCAUCUUGAUUGACCAUGUCUCAUAGCAUGCUUCUUGACAAACCCGAAAACUACCUUUAUAACUACCCUGUUACGGCGUAGCGUUUGAUAGCCCCUAAGUAGGUCGAUCCACAUCUAGAAUACAUGCGACAAUCUCAGGUCUAAGGACAAAGCGUAUAUGUUGUUUAAAGAGAGAACUACUUCUCGUGUUGGGUCAGUCCUAACACAUGUCUCCACAUGUGUCCACAUUAUUAGUUCAACAUCUCCAUGUCCAUGACUUGUGAAACAUAGUCAUCAACUAAUACAUGUGCUAGUCUAAUAUUCAUGUGUGUCCUCACAUGAACUCCGACUAGAGACAACUUUAGAAUAACCAUACAAGUAAAGAGUUUCACAUACAAUUCACAUAAUUGCAAAUCAAUUCAAGUAGCCUUUAAUGGAUAUUCAAUGAACACAAUAUACAAAUCAUGGAUACAAAUGGAAUAUCAUCAUCUCUAUGAUUGCCUCUAGGGCAUACCUCCAACAUGAACCAAGUGUGGUAGCUUCAUUAUUGGGCAGCUGCCAAGCUUUUAAUUUUAUUGAAGCUGGUCGAACUUGUCCCAAGUGGUCACCUCUUCACACGUCCUUAUGGCCAUGCACAGCCUUGCUAUAGCCAGUUCGGCUUGGCCUCUUUCAUAUUGCAAUUUCAUCUCUAGGGUCCAUCAUCUGUUUCUCUCCUUCCAAUCUUUACCUACACCAUGGCUUUUGUAGUCACAUGCAAAGCAAUGGCUUGCACCUUAUGGCCCUCAAUGUCGCACAAAGCUGGCACACGUCCACAGUGCAAACUGUCACUACUAAAAUCCACUUCCCUGGUGUCCGAUUUAUGCACUAUGCCUUUGUUGUCCAGCGCCACCUUCGCUCUUCUGUAUCGUGUUGUUGCAAAAGCUACACAAGCUUAAAAAUCGGAUGAGUUUGGGUACACAUAUUCUCUUCUCUAACAUCAUGUCGUACAUUCAUAAAAUCUAAAGCUAUAUAUUCUUUUCUAUUUUUUCAAUUGCUGUGGUAAUUUCUAAACUCUCUCUACGGACACGGUGACUUUUAACACUACAAUACUAAGAAAAUAAUAGAUUAUAUAUUGAAGAACAAUGCAAGAUGAAGUAGAAAAAAAGAAAAUGUGAGUGUAUUUCAAUUUUAUUUUAUUUAUAAACUGAAAAGUUUUAGGGGUUUUAUGUUGAAAUAAAAAAAUGUCGGUAUGAAAAAUAUACGAUCAUGCAAGAACGCCGUGCAUUCACAAGAAUAAAUUUAACUUACUUAAAACUUUUUUGAUUGCUCCCGGAUUUUCUUCUCUAACUGAGAAAGAUUUAUAUCCAAUUUUUAUUCCGUCCCAUGCCAUAUCUUAUCAACGUAGGAUUGUAGAGUCUAUGUAAGUUUCAAAAAACAUUUUCUAUUUAUGUCACAUACCAUAUCUUGCAGAUAAUUUUAUUUAUAAAUUUCAAAUUUAUUUAUUAGUCGUAAUUGGUAUGGACUCUUUGAGUUAUUCUAGACUGUUAGAUCUUCAUAAAAUCUAAUGAUAUAUAUUCUUCUAUUUUUUUCUGAUUAAUGUGAUAAUUUCUAUACCCUCUCAGCAAAAGUGAUAGUUAUUUUUAACACUAUUGUAUUAAGGUAAUAAUUGAUUCAUUUAUAGAGAAUUGGCUUUCACUUUCAGCUUGUCAAGCUGAUGCACAUCACUACCGCUUCAAUGGCUCCACCAAAUCAAUCAUUGAGUUUGAAUCAACAUGUAGUAAAGCCUCUUCUUCUAGUGUCAUAGCCCUGUGUUUUGUUUGUAUGAGAAGUUAUAUUCUCCUUGUGUCUUUUUUGUGCGUUGUAAGUAACUCUCUCUGUUUUUUUUGCGAAAAUGCAUUCUUAGUAACUCUGAUGUAUGUGUUUGCGCGGCCCUUGCAGCUUCUGAUGUAAUAUGUGGGUUUUGCUACAUCAUAUACUGAGAAGUUGGAUGUUGGUUGAUGAUUUGCCUUCCGUAGUUGCUCUCUCAAAAGAAAUGUAGUAAAACCUCGGGAUCCUAUCACUUUCCGUAGGGAAUACACUACUUGUCCUUAUAAAAAUAAUACGCUACUUGUUGGACUCAUCAACAAGCAAAGAUGUGAUGCCCAUAACUGUUUGUUGGUGGAUCUAAUUGGUAGUGUUGAACCCUUUCACUAUCGGCAUCGGGUUCACUCCAACUAGCAAUAUCAACAUUCAAUACGUGAUUGUCAUGAACUCUUGAGAACUCUUGUCUCAACCACAUUUUUCCAGCAAAAAUAAAUUGAAUCGGUUGGUAUGGCUUGCUAUCACAGCACGUGCACACAUCAUUAUAAUCAAUACUCCCUCCGUUCCAAAUUGUAGGUCGUUUUGACUUUUUUAUUCAUAGAUAUUAUUAUGCACCUAGACAUACACUAUAUCUAGAUGCAUAAUAAUAUCUAUGAACCUAAAAAAGCUAAAACGACUUACAAUUUGAAACGAGGGAGUAUGUACAAGGAUAUAUGCAAGGAUUGUGUCUUUUGUCAGCACCUCAAUCGCUCAAAUAGAACCUUCAAUCCAGUGUCACCACUAAUUCGUGAUCCCACCAUCUUGAUCAACCCUUAUUGCUAUUCAUGAAGGUUUUUAUAUAGCCACACGAUCUAGACAGUCUGGAAAUGACUAUAUGUGAUAACCUCGAGGAGGUGUGUGAUGCGAUUGAUCAGUACCAAAAAUUCAGUCGUUCCAUGUGGGUGACGUCUAGCUUCCAUUUUGCAUCUCUCUCUAUCGUUCGACGGGUGGGGCGCUAGCAAUAUCGAGCGAGGUGGGGCGCAGGUGUAGGUGGCCGAGCAGGAUGACGGGGUGCCUUGGGCUGCGUACGUGCUUCUCGGCCGAGGGGAUCGGAGGUUCUCCGAGGAGAUUGAGGGGGGAGGGGGGUGUUAAAUGUGUCACCCUAUUGUGAUUGUAGUUAAUGAAGUAGUUGAUCAUUCCAUCCAUGUUUCUCCAACCAAAAAUAAAAAUACAACUAUCUCAUCCAUCUAACAAAACAUAGAGAUAGAAUUGUUUCAUCCCUAAAAUCAAGAUUGAUUCAUCACAUCCUACAUUGCUCUCCAACCCAAAAAAAUCAAUGGGCUGAGGUUUCAUUUGGACCGAGCUGCUGGUGCCAGAAACUUGGACCGGCCCAAUGUUAACUUUGAAAACAAUAACAGGCUGCACAAAUGUUGAGGGAAGAAACCUAAAGCUGCAACCUGCUUUAUAAAAAAAGUUUUCUUUGUGUGAAAAGGAUAUGUCCUUUGAUCUGAUGUUCAAUUUGUAACAAUAAACUAUAUGCAAGUUUCAGUGAGGUACGCCAUGAUUUUUAAUGUAUGAUUUUGAUUCCAUUAAGCACUUAGAAAUUAGGAUGUGUUUGGUUGUAUGUAUCAGAUUGUGGAUACAUAGAUGAUUCCAUGGCGUGUUUCAACCAACUUUUUUAACUAUAUGAUUGUUACUUUUUGUGGAAAAUUAGUUUAAGUGUGUGUUUUGUUGGUUGUAUCAUUUGAUUCUUGUAUGAAAUGAUUUAAAAUAAUAAUAUCAUUUUGUUUGGUUGGGUGAAUUGUACCAACUCAUACAGGAUGAAGCCAUCCUACUUAAUACAUUAUUCUACUAAUAAGAGUGAACUAUACGGUACAAGCAAAUUGGUUGAAUCACCACAUCCAGGAUCAUCCGUGCAUGCAUCAUGUAGUACAUGCAACCAAACACACCCUGAGAUGGUUUCAUCCUGAAUGAGUUGGUACAAUUCACACUCAACCAAAAUAAGGAUCACCUAAUACAUGCAACCAAAUGCACCCUUGUGAAGGCGUGCGUUGUUUUCAUUCACUUAGCAGGGUCACAAACUUGCUGAAGUUCUCACAUGAUGAUCCACUUCCUAUGAUGCACCAGCGAGAAGCAUCCAUGAAGAGCCGCGCCCUCUCCUUGACGUUGCCGUCGCCGAGGACUUGCUCCACCUUGCUCCUCAGUUCCUCCUUCGUCACGAUGCCGUCUGCACCAGGCGACACCGCGACGCCGGUCUUCCAAACGUUGGUGAUGUAGCUCCGGUCUAGGUAUUGGUCGCAGAAGUAGGGCCAGCACAGGAACGGUAGCCCCUUCCUGACACCUUCCAUGGUCGAGUUCCACCCGCAGUGGGACACGAAGCACGCCACCGCACGAUGCGCUAGGACCUGUCAGAAUGGAACAGAGCAAUCCUUCACAUACCCUAUCGCCAAGUUUUUAAUUUCUAUCAGCAGCUGCAGUGACCUGCUGCUGGGAACACCAGCUGACGAUGAUGCCCGUUCCGGCGACGCGUUGCUGGAACUCGGCAAGCCACGCCUUCUCCAGGCCGACGGUGAAGUCCGGCCUUACCACCCACAGGAAGGGCCAGCCGGUGAGCUCCAGCCCCUCGGCCAGCUCCUCGAAUUGGCGCGGGUCGAAGAUGGCCAUGCUGCCAAAGGCCACGUACACGACGGACCGAUCGGGCUGCGCGUCGAGCCACUUGAGGCACCUCUCGUCCUCCGGCAGGAAGUGGCCGACGGGCUUCUUGAACUCCCGGUCGGCGAACAGCGGGCCGAUGGACAGGAUGUCGGGGUACAGCUUGAACGUGCCGACCUCGGCCUCGUCGAACGAGUUGCAGACGACCACCUCGGCGAGGUUGAUGAACUUGUUGAACCCUGUGAUCAGCUCGAACAUGGCCGGUUGCCCCACCGGCGUGCUCAUCCCGUCCAUCCACGGCAUCUGCGACGUCUGCAGCGGCGGCAUCCCGGGGGCGAGCUGGAACGUCUCAUCCCGCUCUGGGCAACCUGCAGAAUGCGAUGCGAUCGGGUUGUUCCCGUGGUUAAGAACGUGCUCGACAAACAAGACCACCAGACGAAUCGUCAGAUUUAAAAUUUCGUGUCCGUUCUGCACUUACCCUUGUCGUUGAUGAGUCCUUCCUCUAUCAACUUGGGGGCGUCGAGCAUGAUUGCCAAGCACGCCGCCGACGCCGCCCAGAACGAAGCGACCCUGAUGCCGAGUUUCUUGGCAACCUCGAAGCAAGGACCCACGACCACGUCGCCGACUAGCCACUUCACCUUGGGCCUCCCGGCCGCCUCCAUCUCGGUGAUGAGCCGCUCCAGGUAUCCCGGCAUGUGCCGAGAGCAUGCGUCCGUGACCUUGCUAAGGUCCUUGCGGUCGCCGUUGUCGGCCAGCCCGUCAGGGAUGGACGCGAGGUGGAUGCCGCCCAGCGCUGCGGCGCCGCCCGCCGGCUGCAGUGCACCGAGCAGCAGCGAGUGAUCCACUUCAGUGUUGACGAAGGUGACCUCGAAGCCGUGAUCGACCAGGCGGUGGGAGAGCUCCAUGAACGGGGUGACGUGGGCACGUGGCCCUGCGCCGGGAAUGGCAGCACGAGGAUGUGACCCUUGGCCAUGGAGCUCUCGCGCGCGGUUGCAGAGGAGCAGUGGCCUGGCGCCUCGCGAGGACUAGUUACUUUUACUGGAUGUCACUUCCACACACCACACUGGUUUGCACCUUCCUCGAGGAGAGUAGCAGCGCGAUAAGAUGUCCCAAGUGUUCUUGGAAAACUGUAAUGCACACCGAUACUUCUUUGAUUUUCUGAUGCAAGCAGGGAAAAUGUUGUGUUUUCCAUAAUUAACAUGAUACCUAAACAAACUAAAAAGGUGUAUGUCCGGAUGGUGUUUUCCAUGCUGUCGAAAUCAAGCUCAUACAAAAACACAUUUUGUUUUGUUAGGAUAACUCUUUGACAUAAGUUACACGGGUUAUAGCUGUAAGAGACAUAAGUUGAACAUGGAUGCAUGUGGGACUCACAAGUCACAACUAAUCAAAAUUGCUUAUUUUUACUCUUCCUCAUUUGUUCAUAUUCUUAUGCAGUUGCUCGUAUAGAUACUUUGUUAUCUUUAUCAGUUUGGAUACUCUUUAGUUACCGAUUACUCUAUACUUUUCUAUCAUUAUCCAUAGCUUUUUCGUUUUGCAUCGCACUUUCAUGUGUAUUUGCCAUGUAUUUAGUUAAAACCUUAGCUUCAGCUAUAUGUUUGACAUUAAAUCUAGAUAUGCUCGUCACUUAUGAUGUGCAUGUAUACAUAGUCUGCACGGUGACACGCAACAUGCAUGUAUAUCUUGAGCUGUUUCUUUUUCUAUAUAGAUAAUGGUAGACAUGGGUAGUUUAGGGGCAUAUAUAGGAAUACUUUGGAUAUUAUUUUUUCAUGAUAUAGAUGUAACCAUGUAGAUAAUUUUGAUGCAAUGGGUUCAUUUAGGUUCAAUUUAAUAGUAGCAUAUGCGGGUAAACAUUUUAGCAGCGAAAGUGGGUAAUUUAGAUAAAAAAAUUUAGAGGAUUACUUUAGAUUUAUUUCAUAUGACAUAGAUGUGUAAAUUCGUUGAAGAUUAGGGGGUUACCUAGGUUAUUUUUAUAUUAGAUAAUUUAGGUAUAUAUUUUGAAGAUUAUUUUAGAAUUUAUUUCAUAAUGGCAUAGGGUGAGUAAUUUUUUUUAUAAAAUAACUAGAUUCUUUGCUAUUGUCAUCAAUGAUGAUUAACUUCCACAAAAUUGAAGGCUGGAUGCUUCAAAUUUUCUUGAUAUUUUCAAUACUUUAUCUUUUUUCUAUUACAUCUUUUGAAAGAUUAACAUGUAGGUUUCUAAUUAGUAAUAGUAAAAUACAUAAUUUUCCUAUGACACAAAAUUAUUUCUUUCUAUUAAAAUACUUACUCAUAAUCAUGAUUUUCGUAUCAUAUAAAUGAUAUAUUAAUAGAAUAAUUAUCAAUCAAUGUUUUAUCUAAAAAAUGAAGUACAACUUGUAGUGCAGGGAGUAUCACAUUUAUUAGCAAAAAGAAAAAAAAUACGCUACCUAGCGGCUAGUAUCAUGGGCAUUCACAUAUGAUUUUUUUCUGAUUUGGCAGUAAAUUACUAAUCAAAUAUGACAUUCGACCUUUAAAAACCACAGGAUAACAUUGGGGCUGGACUUAAUUUCAUGUGCUGUAGAUGCAAAACCAUACACCAAUUACUAAUUGUCUUUGGUAGCCCAAAAAACAACACCAAGUCGCUCUCCAUCGAGAGAACCGCGUGGUAUUAUUUGUAUCCAUAAGGUACAUGUUAGCUUUGGAGAAGUGUCAAAUUAAAAAGACAAUAAUGGAUUGGGAGUAGAGAGUUAUACCAACAAGGGUUAUUUUUUGACCCACUAUGCCUGCACGUGGAUCACUCGACAAGGACAUGAGGGGAGACAGAGCCUUCAAUCAGAUGUCACCGCCAACUCGUGAUCUUAUCAUCUCAACCAAUUGUCAUUGUUUUUUUUUCCGGUUGGAAGGGCUUUCUUGUAUGUCAGAUUGAAGGUUUCUGACUUGAUUGGUCCGUAGAAAUCUAAGCUGCCAUGCCGCUCUGUAUGCUUGCAUUGUAUCAUCUCUCUUCUAGCUGUUCACUUCAUGAAAACAAAACGAAACGAGGACAACACUGAGAUAGAAAGAAAACCCCCAACGAAAAUGUGUUUGUGCCGAGCCGUGAGGGCACGGUUGACGGAAGAAUUUUUUUUUCGAAAAGUUAGACGGAAGAAAUAAACCCACGAGAAUAUGUGUCGAGAGAAUCGAAAGCAUGGUAAAAACGACGAAAGCUACAGCUUGCUCAGACUGCUACUCGUAGUCAUGCAGGUGCGACCAUGUCCUGACGCAUGCUGUAGCGCAUGCCGGUGGCCUGGUGGAUGGAGUCGUAUCCAAUGCAUGUAACUGUAAGCAUGUAAAAAAGCUGGAUAGUUACCAAUCGUUGGUGAAUUAUUAAAGGAGCACCAGUAUUCUGAUCGAUCUGAAAACAAUUUGGUGAUCGACCAUGGACCACCAAGAACACAACAAAUCACGGCACCUGUAUGUGACAUAGGGUACAAAACGCAGCUGCAAAGGAUUCCACACUGAGCAAGCGUAGAGGUAGUCGAGUCCUCAUUCACUUAGCAGGUUCACAAAUCUGUUGAAGUUCUCGCACGAGGACCCUCCUUCGCUGAUGCACCGGCGAGCGGCGUCCUUGAACACCCGCGCCCUCUCCUUGAUCUCGGCAUCACCGACGACCUGCUCCACCUUGCUCCUCAGCUCCUCCUUCGUCACGAUUCCGUCCGCGUCGGGCGACACCGCCAGGCCGGUCCUCCACACGUCGGUGACGUAGUUCCGGUCCAGGUACUGGUCGGCGAAGUAGGGCCAGCACAGGAACGGCAGGCCGUUCCUGACACCCUCCAUCGUCGAGUUCCACCCGCAGUGCGACACGAAGCACGCCACCGCACGGUGCGCCAGGACCUGCUGCUGGGGGCACCAGCUGACCACCAUGCCCUUGCCGGCGACGCGGGCCAGGAACUCGUCGAGCCACGCCUUGCUCAGGCCGGCGGUGAAGUCCGGCCUUACCACCCACAGGAACGGCCGGCCGGUGAGCUCGAGCCCCUCGGCCAGCUCCUCGAACUGGCGCGGGUCGAAGAUGGCCAUGCUGCCGAAGGCCAGGUACACGACGGAGCCGUCGGGCUGGGCGUCGAGCCACCGGAGGCACCGGGUGUCCUCCGGCAGGAACUGCCCGACGGGCUUCCGGAACUCCCUGUCGGAGGACAGCGGGCCGAUGGGCAGGACGUGCGGCAGGAGCUUGAACGCGCCGGC
rnacentral:lncRNA from 1 species